rnacentral:rRNA from 1 species
UGGGGAAUAUUUGCAACAAUGGGCCGCAAGCCUGAUGCAGCGACGCCGCGUGAGGGAUGACGGCCUUCGGGUUGUAAACCUCUGUUAGCAGGGAAGAAGAGAGAUUGACGGUACCUGCAGAGAAAGCGCCGGCUAACUACGUGCCAGCAGCCGCGGUAAUACGUAGGGCGCGAGCGUUGUCCGGAAUUAUUGGGCGUAAAGAGCUUGUAGGCGGUUUGUCGCGUCUGCUGUGAAAGGCCGGAGCUUAACUCCGUGUAUUGCAGUGGGUACGGGCAGACUAGAGUGCAGUAGGGGAGACUGGAAUUCCUGGUGUAGCGGUGGAAUGCGCAGAUAUCAGGAGGAACACCGAUGGCGAAGGCAGGUCUCUGGGCUGUAACUGACGCUGAGAAGCGAAAGCAUGGGGAGCGAACAGGAUUAGAUACCCUGGUAGUCCAUGCCGUAAACGUUGGGCACUAGGUGUGGGGGACAUUCCACGUUUUCCGCGCCGUAGCUAACGCAUUAAGUGCCCCGCCUGGGGAGUACGGCCGCAAGGCUA